rnacentral:rRNA from 1 species
CAGCUAAGGUCCCAAAGUCAUGGUUAAGUGGGAAACGAUGUGGGAAGGCCCAGACAGCCAGGAUGUUGGCUUAGAAGCAGCCAUCAUUUAAAGAAAGCGUAAUAGCUCACUGGUCGAGUCGGCCUGCGCGGAAGAUGUAACGGGGCUAAACCAUGCACCGAAGCUGCGGCAGCGACGCUGAUGCGUUGUUGGGUAGGGGAGCGUUCUGUAAGCCUGCGAAGGUGGCCUGUGAGGGUUGCUGGAGGUAUCAGAAGUGCGAAUGCUGACAUAAGUAACGAUAAAGCGGGUGAAAAGCCCGCUCGCCGGAAGACCAAGGGUUCCUGUCCAACGUUAAUCGGGGCAGGGUGAGUCGACCCCUAAGGCGAGGCCGAAAGGCGUAGUCGAUGGGAAACGGGUUAAUAUUCCCGUACUUGGUGUUACUGCGAAGGGGGGACGGAGAAGGCUAUGUUGGCCGGGCGACGGUUGUCCCGGUUUAAGCGUGUAGGUGUGUGUUCCAGGUAAAUCCGGUUCACUUUAACACUGAGGCGUGACGACGAGGCACUACGGUGCUGAAGCAACAAAUGCCCUGCUUCCAGGAAAAGCCUCUAAGCAUCAGGUAACAUCAAAUCGUACCCCAAACCGACACAGGUGGUCAGGUAGAGAAUACCAAGGCGCUUGAGAGAACUCGGGUGAAGGAACUAGGCAAAAUGGUGCCGUAACUUCGGGAG